ensembl:lncRNA
CUCAGAACUUUCAUGACUGGUUAAUUACAUGCUGUUGAAUCACAAUCUUUCAUCAAAUUGCUGUUUCCACACUAAGCACCAAAGUAAGUGGUUCUGUUGGUUAAAGUCUGGUGGCUUCCGGAGAUAUGACAAUGCACUGUCAUGUAAAAUACUUGGUCCCUGGGAAUCUCCAGUCGGGGUGAGUAAGGUAAGGCAGAUGGGAGCACCACGUGACACAGCAACACUUUGAAUCAAGAAAAUUAAAUGAUCUCUACCUAACAGAGACUGUAUUGCUGCUGCUCCUGGGUAUAGAUAAAGAAUGUGUCAUGUUCCUGCUGUAAUGACCCAUUUUUAAGGAAAAGGUAGAUAAAGAUUAUGAAAUUCCUUCAAUAUAUUUUCAUCAGCAUUACAGCAUAAUUUUUAACCCCUUUCAAAGGUCUCAAUGCUGAAUUCUUAGUUCUCAUUAAUAAAUAUUUCCAUGUGCAUCAGGGGAUGCUAGAAUUUUACUGAAGUGACUGUUGACCAGGAACUGUACAGCUUUUACAGUUACAGAACCAUUUAGGUUUGGAAAAGACCCCCAGGACCAUCAAGUCCAAUCUUUUACUCAUCACCAGCUCCUUGACUAGACCAUGGCACCAAGUGCCUCAUCCGGUGUUUUCUAGAACACCUCCAGGGAUGGUGGCUCCUGCCACCUCCUGGGCAGUCCAUUCCAAUGCUCAGCAAGCCUUUCUGAAACUAAAUUCCUGAAAUUCCUCCUGAUGUUCAACCUCAAACUCCUCUAGCACCAUUUGAGGCCAUUUCCUCUUGUCCUGUCACUUGUUGCCUGAGAGAAGAAGCCAACCUCCACCUAUGGUGGGUUAAGACCAUUACAUCAUAUUGGGAGUAUUGCUUCUGUAGAAUUCCCGAAUUAACUCUCAGACUGCAGAAUACAUUAAGGACACCUCAUGCAGUAGGAGAGCUGCAAUUUCUAUUGCCCUGGAACAUACAGCCACCAGUGUGAAGACACACCUGACUCAUAAAUGCAUUACUCUGGACCACUGAUCUUAAACAUAGCUGAGAUACCCCAGUAAUGGCACUGGCCCUCAAAGGCCUCUCACCAUAGCACCAUCCUUCAGAAAAAGACUUAAUUUCAAGGCAAAAUGGUUACAAGGCCAAAGGCUGUUUCUUUGAUAUGCUGGGAAGCACGACAGGACUAUCACUCCUGAUUGUUCUGUGAUAAAAGUGUUCUCCACAGUGUGACCCGUCUAACAGGGUAAAAGGGGUAAUCUUGACAGAAGUUUUGUGCUAGCUGAAUGGGGAAAAGGGAGAAAAGUACUCAGAUUUUGAGUAGAUCCCUAGUAAAACCCUGCCUUGGUCUUCCCCCUUUUGGUUGUGGGGUUUUUUAGGUUGUUUGUUUUGUUUUGUUGGUUUUCUUUGUUUUGUUUUUUUAAUAAAUUUCUAUGGUUUGCAUUAUGAAGGAAAAAACCUCUUUUUCAAGAAUACUCAUUUUUUACAGCUUCUAAAAGUUGUAGCAUCACCUUAGAACCAAACAUUAAGCAGGGACUAUAAAUGCUUUCUUGCAUCCCAUUUCCAAAGCAACACACCUGUCUGCUAUUCAGGUGUAUACACUAAACUGGGCAUAACGAAAAGUUUAACCUGCACUUAAGUUCAAAACUUAAAAAAUGCCAGUACAGAGACUGGUUUUGUAUU